rnacentral:rRNA from 1 species
GACGAACGCUGGCGGCGUGCUUAACACAUGCAAGUCGAACGGAAAGGCCCUGCUUUUGUGGGGUGCUCGAGUGGCGAACGUGUGAGUAACACGUGAGUCACCUGCCCUUGACUUUGGGAUAACUUCAGGAAACUGGGUCUAAUACCGGAUAGGAGCUCCUGCUGCAUGGUGUGGGUUGGAAAGUUUCGGCGGUUGGGGAUGGACUCGCGGCUUAUCAGCUUGUUGGUGGGGUAGUGGCUUACCAAGGCUUUGACGGGUAGCCGGCCUGAGAGGGUGACCGGCCACAUUGGGACUGAGAUACGGCCCAGACUCCUACGGGAGGCAGCAGUGGGGAAUAUUGCACAAUGGGCGGAAGCCGGAUGCAGCAACGCCGCGUGCGGGAUGACGGACUUCGGGUUGUAAACCGCUUUCGCCUGUGACGAAGCGUGAGUGACGGUAAUGGGUAAAGAAGCACCGGCUAACUACGUG